ACCAUCACCACUGCCAGAACUUCCAGAUUAAUGUUACCGACACCAUCACCACUGCCAGAACUUCCAGAUUAUUGUUACCGACACCAGCACCACUGCCAGAACUUCCAGAUUAUUGUUACCGACACCAUCACCACUGCCAGAACAUCCAGAUUAAUGUUACCAUCACCACUGCCAGAACAUCCAGAUUAAUGUUACCAGCACCAUCACCACUGCCAGAACAUCCAGAUUAAUG